rnacentral:rRNA from 1 species
AUGUCCGUGGCGGCAGGGGUGAGCGAUGCGGCCAUCGCGGUGCGCGACAAGCUCCGGGGCAAGAUCGGGCGGACCAAGGUGAAGCGCUACUGGCCCGGGAAGAAGCCCGAGUGGGCCGAGGAGGCCGAGGACGACAUCGACCUCCGGGCGGCCAGGGUCUCCCUCGACGAGGCGUUUUUCAUAACUGCUUUCUUUUCAGAUAAUGAUUUGCUUUCUUUUCUGAAAAACUGCCAGACUACCCUUCAUACGUACAUACUCAUAACUAGCUGUCAAGUUGAAAAUAACUACUUACCAUCCCAUACAACAUUUCCUUCUGACUGA